UACGUAGGGUGCAAGCGUUGUCCGGAAUUAUUGGGCGUAAAGAGCUCGUAGGCGGUCUGUCGCGUCUGCUGUGAAAACUCGGGGCUUAACCCCGGGCCUGCAGUGGGUACGGGCAGACUAGAGUGCGGUAGGGGAGACUGGAAUUCCUGGUGUAGCGGUGAAAUGCGCAGAUAUCAGGAAGAACACCGAUGGCGAAGGCAGCUCUCUGGGACGGUACUGACGCUGAGACGCGAAAGCGUGGGGAGCGAACAGG
rnacentral:rRNA from 1 species